rnacentral:rRNA from 1 species
GAUGAACGCUGGCGGCGUGCCUAAUACAUGUAAGUCGAGCGAAGUGGGAACGGGUGAGUAACACGUGGAUAACCUCCUCUAAGACUGGGAUAACUUCGGGAAACCGGAGCUAAACCGGAUAUUUAUAGAUGGAUCCGCGCUGCAUUAGCUAGUUGGUAAGGUAACGGCUAACAAAGGCAACGAUGCAUAGCCGACCUGAGAGGGUGAUGGGCCACCCUGGACCGGGGAACCGGUCCAGAGUCCUACGGGAGGAAGAGGUAGGGAAUCUUCCGAAAUGGGGGAAAGCCUGACGGAGCAACGCCGCGUGAGUGAGGAGGGUUUGCGGAUCGUAAAACUCUGUUAUUAGGGAAACGGUACCUAAUCAGAAAGCCACGGCUAACUACGUGCCAGCAGCCGCGGUAAUUC